GCACCGUCUCUCUCUGACACCAGGAAGAAAACUGAGGAAGAACUUCAAAGCUCAGACCUGACAACCGACAAAGCAGAUGGCUGGACUGUGGUGGAUGACUGUGACGCUGGUAUUGCUGCUGUCUGCUGGAAGUAUUUUGUCUGAUGCUAACAAGGAGAAAGAAGUAGUAGAUCUGGGGAAGUUGAUGAGAGAACACAUAAAAGAUAAGGCUGCAGACAAUAAGGACCCUCAACAUCCUCACAAUGGUGCAGCUGCUCCAGCCUGAUGGUCCCAGUCUCUCUCUCUGUAAAGGGGGCAGGAGGCUUCAAAGUGCUUUGAGUCAGUCACAUUUGAUUAAAAAUGAAAUAAAAA